rnacentral:tRNA from 1 species
UUAUAGUUAGGUUAAAAAAACCUUCAAUUUGUGGUAUUGAAAAUACAGUAUUUUGUAUUAUAAA